rnacentral:piRNA from 1 species
UCCUCCUCGUGUCAGGUGUGCAUA